rnacentral:rRNA from 1 species
UACAGAGGGGGCUAGCGUUGCUCGGAAUCACUGGGCGUAAAGGGCGCGUAGGCGGAUCUUUAAGUCGGGGGUGAAAGCCUGAGGCUCAACCUCAGAAUUGCCUUCGAUACUGGAGAUCUUGAGACCGGAAGAGGUAAGUGGAACUGCGAGUGUAGAGGUGAAAUUCGUAGAUAUUCGCAAGAACACCAGUGGCGAAGGCGGCUUACUG